UCGGACGAGAUGCUAGGUUUCGGGCUUGCCUCCUCUUCACUUCCUUCUCUCCCUCGCACGUCUCUCGCGUCGCCGCCGCCGCUCCUCUGAUAAUUGAUGUCGCUCUCUCCGGCCACAGCGGCUACCGCUCCUAUGUUCCUCCCUCCUUCCCACGAGAUCGCCACCGCCCUCACAUUGUGCUUGAGUUAUGGAGGGGCAGCUGCAGUGGACGACAAGGAGAUCCACGGCCAGCCGCCGAUGACCUUUCAUCCUCCUACCGGCGCCGCCUUCGGUGCCUCUUCUCCUCCCUGUCCGAGAUCGCCCUGGAGACGCGCUUCCUCGAUCCGUCGUCAGCAGCCGCAGAGCACCUCCUCUGCCGUUGAAGGCACCACAUGGUGGCGGGACGACCGUGUCAAGAGAGAGGCAGGACAUGGUGGUCCUGGCCAGCGGCGCGCUACCGGCGCUGCUGCAAGAUGGGCUGUGCACAAGAGGGAGCGACGGGGCAAGGUGGUAAUGGCUUUCUCUAGCCACCGUCAGCAGCUGCAGCAGUAGCUCCCCCUCUGCCAUUGAUGGUUCCACACAGGGGGACGAGCUUUUGGGUGCUGCCGUCAUAUGCCACCAUCUACAGUCACAGCUCCAUCGAAUGUGAUGGGGAAGCCCACCUCCCCUUGCUGCUUGUGGGGCACGAAGCUGGAGCGACGACACUGGUGGACCUGCUGCUCCUCCAAUUUUUACUUGGCUGUUCCUGGAUAAUAUAUGCCAUGUGCUAUUCCUUGGUUAAUAGCGGAUCUGCUCAUGUUUAUGACUGUAGAGCAGAUGUGGAAAUCUAGACUCUAGGCAUGUCAUUGGUCCCUGCAAAUGAGGUUUUUUUGUUGCCUUCCUUACUUUGUUGGUACCUUGCUUUUUCCACUGCCAAGGAGGAGACAAGUUUGUCCUCAA